UACGAAGGGGGCUAGCGUUGCUCGGAAUCACUGGGCGUAAAGCGCACGUAGGCGGAUCUUUAAGUCAGGGGUGAAAUCCUGGAGCUCAACUCCAGAACUGCCUUUGAUACUGGGGAUCUCGAGUCCGGGAGAGGUGAGUGGAACUGCGAGUGUAGAGGUGAAAUUCGUAGAUAUUCGCAAGAACACCAGUGGCGAAGGCGGCUCACUGGCCCGGUACUGACGCUGAGGAGCGAAAGCAUGGGGAGCGAACAGG
rnacentral:rRNA from 1 species